rnacentral:rRNA from 1 species
GACGAACGCUGGCGGCGUGCUUAACACAUGCAAGUCGAACGGAAAGGCCCUGCUUUUGUGGGGUGCUCGAGUGGCGAACGGGUGAGUAACACGUGAGUAACCUGCCCUUGACUUUGGGAUAACUUCAGGAAACUGGGGCUAAUACCGGAUAGGAGCUCCUGCUGCAUGGUGGGGGUUGGAACGUUUCGGCGGUUGGGGAUGGACUCGCGGCUUAUCAGCUUGUUGGUGGGGUAGUGGCUUACCAAGGCUUUGACGGGUCGCCGGCCUGAGAGGGUGACCGGCCACAUUGGGACUGAGAUACGGCCCAGACUCCUACGGGAGGCAGCAGUGGGGAAUAUUGCACAAUGGGCGGAAGCCUGAUGCAGCAACGCCGCGUGCGGGAUGACGGCCUUCGGGUUGUAAACCGCUUUCGCCUGUGACGAAGCGUGAGUGACGGUAAUGGGUAAAGAAGCACCGGCUAACUACGUG